rnacentral:rRNA from 1 species
UACGUAGGGUGCAAGCGUUGUUCGGAAUCACUGGGCGUAAAGGGCGCGUAGGCGGAGAGAUUAGCUAGAGGUGAAAUCCCGGGGCUCAACCCCGGAAGUGCUUCUAGAACUGUCUUUCUAGAGAUGGUCAGGGGUCCGUGGAAUUCCUGGUGUAGAGGUGAAAUUCGUAGAUAUCAGGAGGAACACCGGUGGCGAAAGCGGCGGACUGGGGCUCAUCUGACGCUGAGGCGCGAAAGCAUGGGGAGCAAACAGG